GAUGAAGAACGCAGCGAAAUGCGAUAAGUAAUGUGAAUUGCAGAAUUCAGUGAAUCAUCGAAUCUUUGAACGCACAUUGCGCCCGCCAGUAUUCUGGCGAGAAUGCCUGUUCGAGCGUCAUUUCAACCAUCAAGCCCCAGGCUUGUGUUGGAGCCCUGCGGCUGCCGCAGCCUCCCAAAACCAGUGGCGGGCUCGCUAUCACACCGAGUGCAGUAGUUUACUCUUCGCUCAGGGCGUGUGGCGGGUGCUAGCCGUGAAACCCCCAACUUCUCAAGGUUGACCUCGGAUCAGGUAGGAAUACCCGCUGAACUUAAGCAUAUCAAUAAGCGGAGGA
rnacentral:misc_RNA from 1 species